GGCAUCGGGAGGGAAGCUUGCUUUCCUUGCCGGCGACCGGCGCACGGGUGAGUAACACGUAUGCAACCUGCCCUCUUCAGGGGGACAACCUUCCGAAAGGGAGGCUAAUCCCGCGUAUAUCGGUUUCGGGCAUCCGAGAUCGAGGAAAGAUUCAUCGGAAGAGGAUGGGCAUGCGGCGCAUUAGCUAGACGGCGGGGUAACGGCCCACCGUGGCGACGAUGCGUAGGGGUUCUGAGAGGAAGGUCCCCCACACUGGUACUGAGACACGGACCAGACUCCUACGGGAGGCAGCAGUGAGGAAUAUUGGUCAAUGGGAGAGAUCCUGAACCAGCCAAGCCGCGUGAGGGAAGACGGCCCUAUGGGUUGUAAACCUCUUUUGUCGGAGAACAAAACCCGGGACGAGUCCCGGACUGCGUGUAUCCGAAGAAAAAGCAUCGGCUAACUCCGUGCCAGCAGCCGCGGUAAUACGGAGGAUGCGAGCGUUAUCCGGAUUUAUUGGGUUUAAAGGGUGCGUAGGCGGUCCGUUAAGUCAGCGGUAAAAUUGCGGGGCUCAACCCCGUCGAGCCGUUGAAACUGGCAGACUUGAGUUGGCGAGAAGUACGCGGAAUGCGCGGUGUAGCGGUGAAAUGCAUAGAUAUCGCGCAGAACUCCGAUUGCGAAGGCAGCGUACCGGCGCCAGACUGACGCUGAGGCACGAAAGCGUGGGGAUCGAACAGGAUUAGAUACCCUGGUAGUCCACGCAGUAAACGAUGAAUGCUGGUUGUCCGGGUCGAAUGAGACCUGGGCGGCGAAGCGAAAGCGAUAAGCAUUCCACCUGGGGAGUACGCCGGCAACGGUGAAACUCAAAGGAAUUGACGGGGGCC
rnacentral:rRNA from 1 species